rnacentral:lncRNA from 1 species
GAAGGAGGAAGGUGGGAAGGCCUGGCCGCCCUGCACUACCCCCGGGGGCGCGCGAAUGAGGUCGGACCUGGCGGACCCGGAGAGGGAGCAGACUUGGAGACAAGCUCUGCAACUACUCAGGAGACACUUCCCAUAAAGAAUGUUUCUGAAGAGGCAGCUUCCCCAAAGGGAAAGAUGGAGGGUAUUUUAAGGGCAGUGCUUGGAGACACC